GAUUAGAGCAUUUAGUUGGGUAGAGCCUGGCACUGAUAAUGCCAAGGUCACAGGUUCGAUCCCUGUAGGGGACA